rnacentral:rRNA from 1 species
CCUACGGGAGGCAGCAGUGGGGGAUAUUGCACAAUGGGGGAAACCCUGAUGCAGCGACGCCGCGUGUGGGAAGACGGUCCUCUGGAUUUUAAACCACUGUCCCCAGGGACGCAGAUGCCGGUACCUGGGGAGGACGCUCCGGCUAACUACGUGCCAGCAGCCGCGGUAAUCCGUAGGGAGCGAGCGUUUUCCGGAAUUACUGGGGGAAAGGGGAGCGUAGGCGGGCCGGCAAGUUGGGUGUAAAAUCUACCGGCUCAACCGGUAGCCGCACUCAAAACUGCAGUUCUUGAGUGAAGUAGAGGCAGGCGGAAUUCCUAGUGUAGCGGUGAAAUGCGUAGAUAUUAGGAGGAACACCAGUGGCGAAGGCGGCCUGCUGGGCUGUUACUGACGCUGAGGCUCGAAAGUGUGGGGAGCAAACAGGAUUAGAUACCCCUGUAGUC